GAUCACUGCCCAGCUACCAAGCUAAAGCAUGGCCAAGUCUGUCCAGUUUUUUGCACUCUUCUUCAUCCUCAUCCUCGUUGCAAACUGGGAGAUGACGGAAGUGGAAGCAAAAAUUUGCGAGAAAGCGAGCCAAACAUGGUCGGGGAAAUGCAAGAACACAAGCCAUUGUGAUAAACAAUGCAAGACGUGGGAGGAUGCUAGGCAUGGAGCUUGUCAUAACAAAGGUGGAUGGAAAUGCUUCUGCUAUUUCAAUUGCAAAUGAAACCCGAUCGGAUUUUUGCCCCAUUUCGUGUUCUGAAAUUGUGUGUUCUAUGUUGUGUUUCUUGUUACAAUAAAACUAGUUAGCUGGCUAAAUAUGGCCAGUUGCUAGUGGCAGCUAAUAAAAUUGUUUCUCUUGAAACUUCUUCUUGUGCCGUGAAGUUGCUGAUUGUUCUUCAUCAAGUUCUCUUUGUCAAGGUUUUAUGGUUGAAAUUUAUAUAUAUAUAUGAAGUAUUAUUAAUCA